rnacentral:rRNA from 1 species
UGUCGUCAGCUCGUGUCGUGAGAUGUUGGGUUAAGUCCCGCAACGAGCGCAACCCUUGCCUUUAGUUGCCAGCAUUAAGUUGGGCACUCUAGAGGGACUGCCGAGGAUAACUCGGAGGAAGGUGGGGAUGACGUCAAAUCAUCAUGCCCCUUAUGCUUAGGGCUACACACGUGCUACAAUGGGUGGUACAGAGGGUUGCCAAGCCGUGAGGUGGAGCUAAUCCCUUAAAGCCAUUCUCAGUUCGGAUUGUAGGCUGAAACUCGCCUACAUGAAGCUGGAGUUACUAGUAAUCGCAGAUCAGAAUGCUGCGGUGAAUGCGUUCCCGGGUCUUGUACACACCGCCCGUCACACCAUGGGAGUUGGGGGCGCCCGAAGCCGGUUAGCUAACCUUUUAGGAAGCGGCCGUCGAAGGUGAAACCAAUGACUGGGGUGAAGUCGUAACAAGGUAGCCGUAUCGGAAGGUGCGGCUGGAUCACCUCCUUUCUA